rnacentral:rRNA from 1 species
UUGAAAGAGCGCAUAAGAUUCUACAUUAAACAAACUUUAGUUCCUUGCGCUUCUAAGCUAAACAAGACGAGUGACUCGCACACAUGUUAGAUUCUUUUUUGACCCGUCCUGAAACACGGACCAAGGAGUCUAACAUGUGUGCGAGUCACUCGGUCUUGUUUAGGCCAGAGAGGCGCAAUGAAAGUAAAGUUUGUUAAGUUACGAUCCUUAUGCGGUCAUUCCUYGUGGGUGACGGUAAGGCGCAGUAACGGCCCGCUAAUUUCGCCUAUUGACGAUCUGGCGGAGUCGUAGCAUACACGUUGGUACCCGAAAGAUGGUGAACUAUGCCUGGGCAAGACGAAGCCAGAGGAAACUCUGGUGGAGGUCUGUAGCGAUUCUGACGUGCAAAUCGAUCGUCAGACCUGGGUAUAGGGGCGAAAGACUAAUCGAACCAUCUAGUAGCUGGUUCCCUCUGAAGUUUCCCUCAGGAUAGCAGACACGCGGUGAGAUUCAGUCUCAUCCGGUAAAGCUAAUGAUUAGAGGCAUUGGGGUCGAAACGACCUCAACCUAUUCUCAAACUUUAAAUGGGUGAGAAGUAUGACUUGUUUGAUUAAAGCCAUACUCUCGGAUGUAUGCGUGCCUAGUGGGCCAUUUUUGGUAAGCAGAACUGGCCGCUGUGGGA